AACAGGGGGUUAUUCAUGCACAGGGCAGUAACUUUCCCGCUGAGGUAAGGGGUCUCAACCUCAAUCUUGGCUUUGGGAAGCAUUCGAACCGAAUGAUCAAUCAGGCGAACUGGUUUGGUCUUGCCUGUGAACUCAUUUCGCUUCCCGCAACAA
rnacentral:lncRNA from 1 species